rnacentral:tRNA from 1 species
AGUAUAUUGGCAGACUAAUGCAUUAGAAUUAGAAUCUAAUUACACUAUAAUAUUUCCUU